rnacentral:lncRNA from 1 species
AAUGGAGCUGACAGAUAUUCCUUUAUUUCCCUUAAGUACAUAAUUAAUUGAUCCUGUUGGUUUGGAGAACUGCAAAACUGUGAUGGGAAUAUAAAAAUCUUCAAUCUUUUAAAAAAUAGUAUCUUACUUCACUAUUUCCUCUUAGUCCCCCUGUUUCUUUAAAUAGUCUGUAACAGCCCGAUAAUGUUAUGUGAGAUAUUUCGUUGUUCAUAGAAUAAACUAAUUGUAUGAUAAAAGAAUGCAUUUGUCAUUCUCAUAAUGGGAUAAAAUUAAUGACAUGGAGACAAAUACAGGUAAAGAAAAUAAGAGAAAUACUAAAUCAGAAAUAUGUAGCAUGAAAGGUUACAUUAAUGUUGCUUCCUUCUGCUUGUUUUUCCUUUCACUUUUGGUUAGAAAGGGAUCUUCCAAAGCAUAGGAAUUUGCUUAUACUAUUCCCAGUUCUUUGAAAACAGAGUGUGUGAAAAUCAGCCUGUUCCACACUGUCCCGUAUUUUUGCUUUUGUUUUCUAGUGGGGAAGAAAAAUAAAAUACAGAAAGCUCAAAAAUCUUUGGGUUUUGAAAUGUGGGCUUGGGACAUCUUUGGUGGAUCAUCCUAACACAGCUAGAAGGGACUCUAUUGUUCUUUAUGGAAAAUAUAAUCCAUCCAGGGACCCCAGAUGACAGGGCAAAUGAGGGGCCUAAACCGUGACAAACUCCUGAUGAGUAAUGACAAACCAUCCUGAAGCAAAACAUUUUGAUUUCCUUGGACAGUUCAAAACAUUUUGAAUUCUCUUUUGUUUUCCCACAGGGACAUUACAUUGUUUUGGCAUAACCAACUUUUUCCUGUGGAAAAAUAAAAUAAAAUAAAAUAAAUUUUGCAGAAACCACUUUUCUACUAAAAAACAUGAACAGAAAAUUCUGGAGCAGCAAUAAAGAGAAGAUGUCAAGCCAGAACCACGCACAUUUGAAAGUAUUCUCCCUAGAGAACAUUAGGAAUACUUCAACCUGGCAAUGGGAAUUUUAUAUCAACUCCAUAUUUUACACUAGUAUAAAGGGCAUGCAAGAGUGUGCAGGAGGAUGGGCAAAAAGAGGAGCAAGGGCCUCCUGUAUGUGA